rnacentral:lncRNA from 1 species
CUAGAUUUGAUAAAAAAUUAACAUUUUAAUCUUUAUCAAAAUUGGAUCAAAUCGUAGCCAUCCGAUCUGGGUUCGGAUUGGUUUUAGGCUAUCGAAUCACGUCAUAUAUCUCCUUAACACAGUCGGAAGCAUCCUCAACCAUCCGAUCGUGUGAUGGAUCACUUCUGGGCCAUCAAAUUGAGCAAAACCUCCUCUUAUAAAUCGAUAGUAAACGUGGACUGUCAGAUCUGGGUCGAG